AAGUCGUAACAAGGUCUCCGUUGGUGAACCAGCGGAGGGAUCAUUAUCGAGCGUAAAAACUCCCUAAAACCCACUGUGAACCUACCUAUAACGUUGCCUCGGCGUGUCCUAGCGGGCUCGCCGGGGGACCCGAACUCUUGUUUCCCACACCGGAUCUUCUGAGUGGCGUAAAGCAAAAAUAAGUUAAAACUUUCAACAACGGAUCUCUUGGCUCUG
rnacentral:misc_RNA from 1 species